rnacentral:rRNA from 1 species
CCCGGCACAAGCGGAGGAGCAUGUGGUUUAAUUCGAUGAUACGCGAGGAACCUUACCUGGGCUCGAACGUAAGAUGACUGUAGGUGAAAGCUUACAUCUCUUCGGAGCAUUUUACGAGGUGCUGCAUGGUUGUCGUCAGCUCGUGCCGUGAGGUGUCGGGUUAAGUCCCAUAACGAGCGCAACCCCUACCUUUAGUUGCCAUCAGGUUAAGCUGGGGACUCUAAAGGAACUGCCUACGCAAGUAGUGAGGAAGGCGGGGAUGACGUCAAAUCAGCACGGCCCUUACGUCCAGGGCUACACACGUGCUACAAUGGCCGAUACAGAGGGCAGCUACCUGGUGACAGGAUGCAAAUCUCCAAAGUCGGUCUCAGUUCGGAUCGGAGUCUGCAACCCGACUCCGUGAAGUUGGAUUCGCUAGUAAUCGCGCAUCAGCCAUGGCGCGGUGAAUACGUUCCCGGGCCUU